rnacentral:ribozyme from 18 species
AGAGAGAAAAGGCCAGAAGGAAAAAACAAAAAACAAGAACAGAGUAAGCAGGUUAGAGAUUGUACCGACAGUGUUGUUUCAAAAGGUUUGCUUUGCUUUCGUUUGUUUCUCU